UACGUAGGGUGCAAGCGUUGUCCGGAAUUAUUGGGCGUAAAGAGCUCGUAGGCGGUUUGUUGCGUCGGCUGUGAAAUCCCGAGGCUCAACCUCGGGUCUGCAGUCGAUACGAGCAAACUAGAGUGUUGCAGGGGAGACUGGAAUUCCUGGUGUAGCGGUGAAAUGCGCAGAUAUCAGGAGGAACACCGGUGGCGAAGGCGGCUCACUGGACCGGAACUGACGCUGAGGCGCGAAAGCGUGGGGAGCAAACAGG
rnacentral:rRNA from 1 species